UGAUGAUGAUGAUGAUGAUGAUGAUGAUGAUGAUGAUGAUUAGGUAUCACCAUUUUUGAACACUGUUGCGUUGCUCUGCACAAUACAUAGAAAAGGGAGGAUAACUGUGACUGCGCACAGGGUUAACCAUCAUUGACGGAUGGGUACAAAUUUAUUCGAUAAAAAUCAACAUGUAUAUAAAAUGGUGGACUGCUACGCUCAUUUCGUGACCCAGAGUAUAUUUAUGUAAAAAUAACGACUCUAACGACAAAUCCAACCCAGUUAAGAUCACUGUUAGGAGUGUCUCACUGUCCCAGGGGUUCAGGGGAUGUUUUGGGUCCUGGUACCAGAAGACAUGGUCGCCCUCAACGUCGCGGUCCCAGCCCGCCGAAUGCUGUAGAAGAUGACAUGUAAUAAUGAAUAAUGGAAAAACUUCUGAACCAUCACUAACCGAAGACUUUUGUGGACAAAGGGCACUGCUUCUCAUGGCAGAGUUUUACGACAGCUACAGCAGUGAACACCUUACUGAUACUGGCAAUACGGAAAUGUGAAGAGGAUGUAACCCUUUCUCCACAUCGGCUUACACCAUAGCCUGGAUACACAAAUUGAUUUGAAAAUAUAUUGAUUAUUUACACUUAUUAAGUUCAGCUCCAUUAUGAAGGCAGCUGCAAGAGUUUUCCUAGAGAUACCAUAAGAAAGAGCCCCUGGUGGGAAUGAGCCCACAACCUCAUAGGAGAGGGAGGAACUUAAAAGUCAUUCAAGUGUUAUGUUUCCUUUUUUUUCUUAUCAGCUUCAUGGGACUUAAAGCUGCACUCUCACAGAUUGAUCGUUUUGACAACUUUUUAAUUUUUGGCUUGGAAGGAGGUAAUUUUGGCUAAAAUCCACAGACACCAGUUAUAUAAGACUGCUGACAAAAAAAUAAGAUCGCGGAGUUUUAUAUUUAAGUUCAAAAAUUGAUGUUUUGUGCAUUUUUCUUAAACCUUUAGUAACAGUUUAUGCCGUAAAACAUUAAUUUUCCAACAGAAAUAUGAAAAUCUGCGAUCUGAUCUUUUGUCAUCAAUCUUAUAUCAUUGGUUUGCAGACAUAUUCGCAAAAAUUUGCUCUUUCCAAGACAAAAAAUAAAAAAGUUGUUAAAAAUGUAAAUCUGUGAGAGUGCAGCUUUAAAGUUCCAACACAUAAUCACCUUUUUUUCAGUAGUUAAUUUCUUCUGUCUCAAGAGUUACAUGCCCUUGAACUAAGAUUUUAUUGUUUUAAGAAUACACAAGUGUGUUAUCUGAAAUUAAUGCCCACUGUUAACUACCAAUAAAUACAAGCUUUAUACAAGCAUGUUUUAUAAAAA